rnacentral:snRNA from 1 species
GUGCUCACUUCAGCAACACAUAUACUAAAAUUGGAACAAUACAGAAAAGGUUAGCAUGGCCUCUGCACAACGAUGACAUGCAAAUUCGUGAAGCGUUCCAUUAAGAA